AUGUGCAACGGGCCAAGCACCCUGUGGCCCCACCUGAGGUCCAAGCAGUCCCAGCCCUUUUGCGGGCUCCGCUCGUGCUGCCGCCUCCGCCGCCGUCCCUUCCCAGCCAGCCUGCCCGCCGCAGUGCUGUGCAACGUGGAGUUCGUGUGGGCCCUGAAGAAGGGAGACCUGGACGAGGUAAAGGACUACGUGGCCAAGGGAGAUGUCAACCGGACACUGGAAGCGGGAAGGAAGCCUCUUCACUAUGCAGCAGAUUGUGGACAGCUCGAAAUCCUGGAAUUCCUGCUGCUGAAAGGAGCAGAUAUAAAUGCUCCAGAUAAACACCACAUUACCCUACUUCUGUCUGCUGUGUAUGAGGGCCAUGUUUCCUGUGUGAAGUUGCUUCUGUCAAAGGGUGCUGGUAAGACUGUGAAAGUUCCACAUGGGUUGACUGCCCUUAAAGCCACCAAUAACCAGGCAAUCAAAGCGCUCCUGCAGUGAUGGACUGAUAACUAGGAAAGAACGACUCCCUGUGGCCUCAUACUGCUGCCUGUCUGCUUUCAAAGUCAUUAUGGUACCGAAACCAUGUGAUUCUUUGUACAGUUUAUCCUAAUGUUCCUUGUAAUGCAGUAGAGGCUAUUUGGCCUUCCCUCUUCUUUUUCAGUCACUUUGUAAACCCCAUAACUAUGAAGCAAUUGCUUGAAUAAAUUACAUACGUACAUAGAGUAGAAUAGACUGGCCAAGAUGGUUUGCAAUUUCUUUUUUUUUAACUAGGUUAUUUAUAAUGUAUUUGUGAACCACUUGGCAAAGAAAUUCACAACACUUAAUGUUUAUAUUUUGAGUAAAGGAAGCUAAAAACAUGUCUGCUUUUUGGUACUACAUCCAUUAGCAAAAGGUUAGUUUUGUUCUCCACUGAAGCAAUAUUUAACAUCUUAGACAAAAUCUUGCAUGUUCUGUAGUUUUGUAUUAAAUCAUUGAGUCAUUUCUUAUGUAGUAUAUCAAGUAAAAACAGGUGGAUUGCCUGUUACAAUAGUUGCUAACAAAUUCCCCCGUGGCUUCAGGCUAGUUUCUGUAGACAUAGAGUCAAAGACAGUACCUGAGUGUCCCAAGUAGUUCUGUGCACAGCUCACCCCUCUAAACCCAUCUCGGCAUAGAAGUAUGUAGUUGGUAAGUGCAUUGUAUGGAAGCUGCAAACAAGUAGGUCUUUUUUUCAUUUUUCCCCAGGUACUGGGUUUUUAAUCUAUAUGUACCUAAUGAAUUUUUUCCUAAAACUUCAACCAAGCUGCCGUUUUCUUCCAUGUAAUAUCUUAUACUCAAUUGUGUAUAGAAGGAGCUUGUAAGAGUGCCCUCCUACAUAAAUAAGCAAUUGCAGUGUUUUGCACACAAAAUUUUAAAAAAUUAAAUCAUCCCGAUUCUAUUUCAUAAAUGGAGAAAAAAAUCAUACCUUUCUGAGCAGUAAUGGAGGAAGACUAGUUCUUUGUGCAUUUUUGAUAUAUUUGAGUUCAUUUUUCCACAGCAUCAUCCUUUUGACACAAUUGGGUUUCUCAUAAGUAUCCUAGUUCAUGUACAUCCAAAUGCUAAAUAAUACUGUGUUUAAGUUUUGUGUUGCAAGAACAAAUGGAAUAAACUUGAAUUGUGCUACAGCU